UGUGUGUGUGUGUGUGUGUGUGUGUGUGUGUGUGUGUAGGCAUAUGUGGUUUAUGAGACCAAUUUUCAGGUUUACAUACCAGCAUUACAAGACCAUUCGGUUUAUGAGACCAUUUUGUGUGGUCUCGUAAUUCUGGAAAUUUGAAUUGUUAUAAUUAAUGACUAAUAAUAAUUCUAAAAAUUAUUAAUGCUUGUAUGUUUACUAUAUUAAUACUUUUAUUAAGUAUUGUCGCUAUUUUACUGUUAUGACACUCCCUACCUUUUUUAUGACGUUUAUAAACAUGGUCCUCUUAAACCAUGAUGUGUCUGUGUGAACUCGGAACAGUGCCCCUGUAGGUGGGAAUUGGUAUUGCGUGGUAUACACAUUCGCGCCAUAUUACACACAUAUUCGCGCCAGAUUACACACAAAUUCGCGCCAAGUGCCAUUGACGGAACAGUCAAGGAGAUUUGCAGCAGAACAAACGCAGCAGCUGGAUCUGUCGGGAUAAAAGUAAGUAAUAUCUUUUUUUUUUGUCAAAUGUUCAUUUGAUGUUAUUUAAUAACUUAAAACUCUAGCAAUGGCGUGUAGCACUGUAACGUUAAUGUAUAAUAAGCUCUGAGACGCAAAGAUGAUGUAGAUCUCAACUAAUGUGGUAAAUUAAUCAUUAAGAAAUACAAUUUGAAUGAAAUACAGUAUAUCGUUGUAAAAUAAAGUGGCCUUGGGCACAGCAGACUGCCAAUAUGUCACGGGGCCUAAAAAAAAAACAAUGCUGCGAUAUAUUUUUUUAUUUGAUCAUUUAACAAACUCCUAAUAAUACAGUAGUUUGACAUCUGAGUAAGCACAAUUUUCUCUAAUGUCGCAGUUCACGCGGUUUGAGCGAAGCUGGCUGAGGUGAACUCUACACGGGGCAAUUGUCUCUCGCUCCCCUGGCCACGGAGCGUGCGAUUUUCUCACCAUGUCACGAUUUCUGUAUUUGAUUUGAGACCUCGAUUAAAAAAACAUUGAUUACAUGAUUUUGCCCGUGGCAGUAACCAUAAAAUAUGGCGAAUUUCAAGGAUGAGAAAACAUUAAGCAUUAUGAGACGGUUUUCCAAGGCUGCAUUAUAUGUUAAAACCAUGAAACGAUUAGUCCUCAACGCCGACAAUAAAUAAAAUUGUCGACACAUAUCUUUGUUGUCGAGUGGUCGUUUUCAUCUCAUUUAGACUUAAACAAAUAUAAAUGCAUGUAAUGUCGUGAUUUGACCGCUACGACGCUGUAGCGCUAGAGUGCAAUGCAGCCCUAACAAAUCUGCGAUAGAAGAAGAUGGAUGAAAAAACACAGCGCAGGUUAUGGCGAAGUGCAAAUAAAGUUUUACAACACUUAAAAACCAAGAAUGCUGUCGUGUGUAAUACAUAAAAGACAGAUAUUGCCUUUCACGGGAGCACAUGGUGCAUGUUGGAGCACUUAGGUGGGAGUGAUUCGGAGUCAUCGGAGAAGAGGACCAAAUCCUCUGAAAGAUGCAGAAAUCCAUGAACAAAAGGGCAAGGACAAAGACAACAUAACCAGAAAAUAUAUUAAUCCCAUCAAAGCUCGUCCAUGAGCCUGUCGUUUCAGGAAGUGAAGUCACAUCUCCUAAAGAGGUUUGUUAAUAAUUUUGUCAAAUUUGUG